CCCUUAGAUGUUCUGGGCCGCACGCGCGCUACACUGAUGCAUUCAACGAGUCUAAAACCUGCUCUGAUAGGGGUGGGUAAUCUUUUGAAUGUGCAUCGUGAUUGGGAUAGAUGAUUGAUAUUUUUCAUCUUCAACGAGGAAUGCCUAGUAAACGCAAGUCAUCAGCUUGCAUUGAUUACGUCCCUGCCCUUUGUACACACCGCCCGUCGCUCCUACCGAUUGAAUGAUCCGAUGAAUAUCAUGGAUUGAGGAUGCAAGUAGGUUCACCUAUCUUCAUCUUCGAGAAGUGAAGUAAAUCUUAUCAUUUAGAGGAAGGAGAAGUCGUAACA
rnacentral:rRNA from 1 species